rnacentral:rRNA from 1 species
GACGAACGCUGGCGGCGUGCUUAACACAUGCAAGUCGAACGGAAAGGCCCUGCUUUUGUGGGGUGCUCGAGUGGCGAACGGGUGAGUAACACGUGAGUAACCUGCCCUUGACUUUGGGAUAACUUCAGGAAACUGGGGCUAAUACCGGAUAGGAGCUCCUGCUGCAUGGUGGGGGUUGGAAAGUUUCGGCGGUUGGGGAUGGACUCGCGGCUUAUCAGCUUGUUGGUGGGGUAGUGGCUUACCAAGGCUUUGACGGGUAGCCGGCCUGAGAGGGUGACCGGCCACAUUGGGACUGAGAUACGGCCCAGACUCCUACGGGAGGCAGCAGUGGGGAAUAUUGCACAAUGGGCGGAAGCCUGAUGCAGCAACGCCGCGUGCGGGAUGACGGCCUUCGGGUUGUAAACCGCUUUCGCCUGUGACGAAGCGUGAGUGACGGUAAUGGGUAAAGAAGCACCGGCUAACUACGUGCCAGCAGCCGCGGUGAUACGUAGGGUGCGAGCGUUGUCCGGAUUUAUUGGGCGUAAAGGGCUCGUAGGUGGUUGAUCGCGUCGGAAGUGUAAUCUUGGGGCUUAACCCUGAGCGUGCUUUCGAUACGGGUUGACUUGAGGAAGGUAGGGGAGAAUGGAAUUCCUGGUGGAGCGGUGGAAUGCGCAGAUAUCAGGAGGAACACCAGCGGCGAAGGCGGUUCUCUGGGCCUUUCCUGACGCUGAGGAGCGAAAGCGUGGGGAGCGAACAGGCUUAGAUACCCUGGUAGUCCACGCUGUAAACGGUGGGUACUAGGUGUGGGGUCCAUUCCACGGGUUCCGUGCCGUAGCUAACGCUUUAAGUACCCCGCCUGGGGAGUACGGCCGCAAGGCUAAAACUCAAAGGAAUUGACGGGGCCCCGCACAAGCGGCGGAGCAUGCGGAUUAAUUCGAUGCAACGCGUAGAACCUUACCUGGGUUUGACAUGGAUCGGGAGUGCUCAGAGAUGGGUGUGCCUCUUUUGGGGUCGGUUCACAGGUGGUGCAUGGCUGUCGUCAGCUCGUGUCGUGAGAUGUUGGGUUAAGUCCCGCAACGAGCGCAACCCUUGUUCACUGUUGCCAGCACGUUAUGGUGGGGACUCAGUGGAGACCGCCGGGGUCAACUCGGAGGAAGGUGGGGAUGACGUCAAGUCAUCAUGCCCCUUAUGUCCAGGGCUUCACGCAUGCUACAAUGGCUGGUACAGAGAGUGGCGAGCCUGUGAGGGUGAGCGAAUCUCGGAAAGUCGGUCUCAGUUCGGAUUGGGGUCUGCAACUCGACCUCAUGAAGUCGGAGUCGCUAGUAAUCGCAGAUCAGCAACGCUGCGGUGAAUACGUUCCCGGG